AAUAGAUACCCAGGUAGUCCACGCCGUAAACGUUGGAUACUAGGUGUGGCGGUCUUACCAACGACUACCGUGCCGAAGCUAACGCAUUAAGUAUCCCGCCUGGGGAGUACGGCCGCAAGGCUAAAACUCAAAGGAAUUGACGGGUCCCCGCACAAGCGGCGGAGCAUGCGGCUUAAUUCGAUGCAACCCGAAGAACCUUACCUGGGUUUGACAUCACGGGAAAAGCUGUAGAAAUACAGUGUCCAUUAGGGCCCGUGACAGGUGGUGCAUGGCUGUCGUCAGCUCGUGUCGUGAGAUGUUGGGUUAAGUCCCGCAACGAGCGCAACCCUUGUCCUAUGUUGCCAGCGGUUCGGCCGGGGACUCAUAGGAGACUGCCGGGGAUAACUCGGAGGAAGGUGAGGACGACGUCAAGUCAUCAUGCCCCUUAUAUCCAGGGCUGCACGCAUGCUACAAUGGCCGGUACAACGGGCAGCGAUCCCGCGAGGGUGAGCGAAUCCUAAAAAGCCGGUCCUAGUUCGGAUUGAAGUCUGCAACUCGACUUC
rnacentral:rRNA from 1 species